CGGAUUGGAGUCUGCAACCCGACUCCAUGAAGCUGGAUUCGCUAGUAAUCGCGCAUCAGCCACGGCGCGGUGAAUACGUUCCCGGGCCUUGUACACACCGCCCGUCAAGCCAUGGAAGCCGGGAGUGCCUGAAGUGCGUGAGCGCAAGCAGCGCCCUAAGGUAAAACCGGUGACUGGGGCUAAGUCGUAACAAGGUACC
rnacentral:rRNA from 1 species